GCCAGGUACAGUGGCAUGUGCCUAUACUCUUAGCUACUCAGGAGGGUGAGGAUGAAAGGAUAUUUGAGCCCAGGUGUUCUGCACUGUAGUGUGCUAUUCCAAUAGGUUAUCAUUCUAUUUUUGGCAUCAAUAAGGUUACAUUUUGGCAGUGGGGGACCGCCAGGUUGCCUAAAAAGGAGCAAACCCACUCAGGUCAGAAACGGAACAGGUCAAAACCCUCAUGCUAAUCAGUAAUGAAAUCAUACCUGUGAAUAGCCAAUGCAUUCCAGCCUGAGUUACAUAGUGAGACCCCAUCUCUU
rnacentral:SRP_RNA from 1 species